UCAAAAUUUCUUGAAUGGUUCUAUUCCACAAAGCAUUUGUGUAAAUUCUUCUCGGCUUCGGGUUCUGAAGUUGGCUGUGAACUACUUGUCUGGUAGUCUUCCAGAAAGUCUUGCCAAUUGCAGUUCCUUGGAGGCCAUCCAUCUCAGCACAAACUAUCUCUCUGGUGGUGUACCUGAAGGUAUAUAUCAGCUGCAGAAACUAACCAGAUUGACCAUUCAAGAUAACAAGCUUACCGGGACGCUGAGCAAAGUUGGUAACCUGAUUAACCUUGUUCGUUUGGAUAUCUCGAGUAAUUGGUUUUCAGGAAGAAUUCCAGAUGUUUUCCACAGCCUUCGAAGAUUACAGUAUUUUGUUGCUCAUUCCAAUAACUUGAGUGGCAAGAUACCCCCUUCCCUGUCAAGUUCUCCAACCAUCUCGUUGCUGAAUGUGAGAAACAACACAUUGGAUGGUCCAAUUGAUCUAAAUUGUUCAGCAAUGACAAGUUUGGUCUCUCUUGAUCUAGGUUCAAAUCAGUUUGAUGGGGUUAUUCCAUCUAAUCUUCCCACUUGCCGGCAUUUGAAUAAUAUAAAUCUUGCCACGAACAACUUGAGUGGCCAAAUUCCUGACAGCUUCAAGGACUUUCAUACUCUCAGUUACCUCUCACUUUCAAAUGCCAGCUAUUCUAAUCUAUCAUCUGCCCUUCAUAUCUUACAGCAGUGUCAGAAUCUAACCACUUUGAUUCUCACCAUGAACUUCUAUGAUGAAGAAUUGCCAGCUGAUCCAAACUUUCAUUUUCCAAGGUUGAAGGUAUUUAUUCUUGCAAAUUCUCGGCUCACGGGUUCGAUACCCCAAUGGUUGAGUAAGAGCAGCAGAUUGCAGUUAUUGGAUAUAUCAUGGAACUGCUUGAAGGGUACAGUUCCAGCUUGGUUUGGCAAUUUCACUAAUCUCUUCUACUUGGACAUAUCAAACAAUACUUUUACUGGGGAGAUCCCGAGAAGCUUAACUGGACUACAGAGCCUCAUUGAUGGGAAUUUUUCCUCAGUUCCGGAACCUUCCCCUGAUUUUCCUCUUUUCCGGAAAAGGAAUUUGAGUGCCAGAGAAUUGCAGUACAAUCAAGUUUGGAGCUUUCCACCAACACUGGAUCUCAGCAACAAUAAUCUUAGCGGACCAAUCUUCCCAACCUUUGGGAACCUGAAAUCGCUUCAUGUUUUAAUUCUUGGAUUCAACAGUCUAUCAGGACCAAUUCCGAGUUAUUUAUCUGAAAUGACCAACUUGGAGACUAUGGAUUUGUCUCAUAACAAGCUUUCAGGGGAAAUACCGCAUUCAUUAGUUCGUCUCAACUUUUUGUCCAAGUUUAGUGUUGCAGACAACCAGUUAGAGGGGGUGAUCCCUGCAGGAGGUCAGUUUGGGACCUUCUCAAAUUCAAGCUUUGAAGGGAAUAAUCUUUGCGGAUAUUAUGCUUCCUCUUGUCUAUCUUACUCAAAACCACUGCCACAGCCACAGCCACACAGCAGAAUAAGAGUAGAAUAUAGAGGAGUUGUCAUUGGAAUAGCUGUGGGAUUUGUAUUUGGAGUAGCUUGCUUUAUAGUAGCAGAUAGAUAUGUGUGGACUUGGCAUUUCUAAUUCCAGUACCCUCCUUCCUUGUGUAAGGGGUUAGGGCUCGGUUGAAAUGUACUGUCGUUUUUUUCUCUCUCUGUAAUUAAAGUCUUUUUCGCUUCUGUUGGUUGUCGUCUGCCUGCAAUAUCUACAAUUAAUCCUCAUUACAGUCUGAAAAGUUGGUGAACCAUUACAUUUUGACUCAGCAUAUUCUACAGAUUUGGUGAACUCCAAAAUAAAUUGAAUUUCGAGACAAGUUGCAGUUAUCAUUGAUCUAAAACUCAACUCAGAUACAUUCAUUCAAAAAUUUAAAAAAGUUCAGUUACAUAAAUCCCUAGUAAUAACUAUAUAACCUCUGCAGAUGCUUGGUUUUACUUUCUAAUGUCAUCAUACUUUUGAGCAAAAGACUUCGAGAAUUCAUCCAAUGAUCCAAAAAGUGAAGUAAACCCCUUCUGAAUUAGAUUCAGUGCAUUCUCUUCGGUCUCCUUCCGACUUGCUUCAUAUUGCACUUCCUCUUCUUUUAUCCUCUGCGUCAACUUAUCAGACUUGUCCUUGGCCUUUCUGGACUGCUCAAUUUUCCUUUGCUCCCCUUUGAGUUGAUCAACCUGGCUCUUGUGUUCAUAUUCCUUAUUUUGCAACUCCACUAGUUCUCAACUUUUGUGGCCAAGUCACCGAUGGCUUUCGUCACAGUCACAUCAGCAAACAGCUUAUCCAAACAACUUGACCACUUAUCAAUGAAGGUAUAAGGAUAGUUGGCAAUCCUUUUAUCCUGCAAAACACCUUGAGAUGUCGUUGUCUGAUCAAGAACAAGUGGCACUAAUAUCCCUUAUAGUUUCAGGUAAAACAUGCAUUUGCAUAUCACUGUUUUUCACAGAGGUUAGCAGCUUCGCUUGCUAUCCUAAAUACUGAGUCUUCUGCUGUCCUGAGUUUCAAAGUCUGUUAUAUUAGUAUAAUAAGUCUUUCAUUUUCAAAUGGACAACUGAGUUUGUGGGAAGUGCCUUAGCGCUCAAACCAGUCAAAUGGUUGAGAUCUUUUGUUUAUGCCAACCCGUGACCAAAUGGUUUGAUGCUCAAGGCUCCAGCUGGGAUUUCAUGAUACGUUAUCCGAUGUAUAAGCUGGUCCCUGUAUGGUUCAAAUACCAGUUGCUAUCAGUUGUGUCAAGGUCCACUAAUGGACUGAGUAAGAGGGUUUGAAACCUCUUUGCUCCCUGUUUGAAUCAUUCAUGUUUUAGGAAAGGGUUAUUUGUCUUAUUGAGAUUGCUUGUGUCAUCUCUAUGUUUGGACACAUCACUUUCAGUACGGGAGCCAAACACUUCUGUCCAAACCUUUCUGGAACAUGUUGAGGUCAGCGUGCAUCAUCCUUGAUGCCCUGUUGGCCUAUAUAUAUCUACAGCUUUGGCUUUGCUCAAUGGUUGUAGAAAACUGCCUUAUUGCGUUUUCUUUAUUGAGUCUAGUUUUUAGCUUGCAUUGUUCAUGCUGCUCUAAGUCUUCUUCGUGACUGUAAACCUUAGAGCUUGAACUCAAAUCUUCUUUCAUCAACUCAUAUCAUGUUGCAUACCAUGAGGGAUGUGUAGUGCAACCAACCCAAGAAGCGUUCAAGGUUGAAUCUGCUAGUGGUUAGCUGAAUUCACGAACAAGGCUUCGAAAAGUGUCCCAUGUUGUAAGAACUUAGAAACAAGAGAGGGAAUAGGUCUAGACUAGUUCGGGACUAGGAAGGAUAGCACUGUGGUAGUGUAUCACUAGAACUAUUAUUCUUGUAAGAAGUUUCUUCAACUUAGUGGAAGUUUUUGUCUCUCAAGAGUUAGAGACACGCAGUUUUUCUCCCUGCAUUCAGGGUUUCUGCGAGUAAAAAACAUCCUUGUGUUGUUUCUUUAUUUGCUGCAAUUUACUUUCUGCAAACUCGUAUCCUGUGAUUCUGGGAUAGCCCAAGUCAGUGCUAUCCUCGGAUACAGAAGACAACGAAAAUUUGAAAAAGGCCUAUUCACCCCCCCUCUAGGACCUUUAAUCAAGCAGCGGUAGCGCGUAGAUGUUGUUGCUGUUGUCGUUGUUAUCUUCACAGAACGCCGGGAGCGGAUGCCUUGCCAAAUAAUGAAGAGCCUUAAUGUAGGCCUUGUGCGAAGAAACAUAAUUAGCAAAGCAUGCAAGCUAUUCUUCGAGUUGUGCUUUAAGUUUCUUAGCAGCACGCCAGUGGGGGACAUCGGAACACAGUCUACGAGGCCGAGUAUAUUUCACUAUUAUUUGAGACAUGAUCUGGACUUGAGCUGAGUAGCAAUCCGAAUUUUUCUUCCAAUUAAGUGUCAGACUACGUAGGAGCUGAUCAAGAUGAGGCCUUAGCUUUUGAUCUUUCAGCUGUUUGAUUUGGUUAAAUGCCGAUACAGUGCUUUGUUUCGCAACGUUUACUUCAUGAAAUCCUCCUGUUUUUUCCUCGUCUAGUACCCUCUCCACGAGGUAAUAGAGUUGUUUCUCCCAAGCACAUAAGUACUUUAGUGUUGAAGAAUGCCCGUCUUCGGCAUCACUUGGUGAACAACGAACUUUGGAGGAGCGACUCCUCCACCCUGACGAAAGAAAUUUGAAGGAGAAACUCCUAGACAAUGACCUUGCGAGCUUGUUAGAUGACCUUCCGUUGGUAGCAUUUUGCGCUUGAACUGUUUCGAUCUCUAGCAAUUUGCAAAGACUACCAUUGUCUUCGACAUUCUUUUCGGAUUGACCUUCAAGAUCUGCUAACAGACUUUCGAAAACACUACUAGGGUCUUCAACUUUAGCCUCAAUACUAGAAGUAGUGGCGGAAGCAGGAAUUAGAAAUGGGUAGGGCUGUUGGGGGGCUUGGUGUAAGUGCAAAAAAAAUUGUAAUAGAAAUUAUAAAAACUAAAGAAAUUGUAAUAGAAUAUGUUGUAACUGAAGAACAAUAAUAAGAAAAGUAGGAGCAAGAAUGGGGAAAGAAUAGGAAAAUGGAACGAAAAUAGAAAUACUAAUAGAAAGUGGCAGAAAAUGUUGUAAGAAAAAGAGAGAAAAGAAAUUUUUUUUUAAAAAGGGAGAAAGAAAAAAGAAAUAGAAAGAAAAAAGAGGAUUAUAGUGAAGGAAAAAGAAGGAAUGGGACUCGAACUAGUGACCAGCCCUACUAAAAGAGAUUAAGAGCUAGCUUAUAGCCAACUGAAGUACUGAACCAGUUGGGAUUUAUGAUAUAAGGCACCCAUACAUAUAUAGUUCAAAUCAUGGUUGGUCAUGUAUAUAUAUACCUAGGGGUUUUACAGCCUAAAUCUUCGUAGGGUUAUAGCCGUAACGGCCUACACUAUGCUUCCGCCACUGACUAGAAGCAUGUGUGCUGUUACCAGCUGCUGCUGCAUUAUGAUCAGCACCUUUUGUUUUCUUCUUUUUCGCCUUAUCCUCCUCCACGUUGUGUUCUUGUUUUUGUUGAUCUCCAUUGCAUGCGGCUUCUUGUCUUUCAGUAGGAUCAUCAGAAGAAUGUGUUCUCACAAAUUCCGUUAUAGCUUUUGCCAUUGUGCUCUGCAGAUCAUUGUAUGUCUUGUAUGCAGCAGCAAAUUAAGUCCUUCCAGCGCUGUUAAGCCAAUUCAGUCAACUUUAUUCUCUCAAUACAAGCAUCUUUACCGGAUUUCUCUUUGCUAACGCCUCUCCUAGACAAAGAUUCAGGAACCCCUUUCAUGGCUAGCUAUGGUUUCUUUGGAUUCUAUGGAAGAAGAAUAAGGGUUUUGUUAGGUGUAGGGUCGUUGGUUUAUCAAUCGAAGGGAAAACGUAAUUCUUGCAUGCAAUGAACACGGGCCGGGGUUUUUUUUUGAAAGGGAGUUAUAAUGCUUAUGAUGGUAUAUCUUUUAAUAUAUAAGAAAAUGAUUCUUGGUCUUAAUAAGGCUUAAAAUUUGUGGUCUUAAUCUUAGGUGACAUGCUACGUCACAUAUCACUAAUUAAAAAGAUUAUGUCAUGUCGUUCUUAAGCAAAAAGACAAUCUUAUCUUUUUAAAUUAAUCCAAUGGCUCUAGAUUAUUUUAUUUUUUUAUUGAGAGAAAUUUUUUGUUUCUUUUAUAUUUAAAAAAUAUAUAUUUCUAGCAUUUUUUUCUUUUCUUUUCAUCACUAUCAUGGAUUGAACACUAAAAUAUAGUGUGAAAAUACAUAUAUUUCAUAUAUAUAUAUAUAUAUAUAUAAUUUGUCAAGAAAAAACAAUUUCGUCCAAGAGAAAAAAUUUACAUUUGUAUAUAUAAUUCGUUCAAAAUAAAGUUUAUAUAUACGUAAUCAUCCAAAAGAAAUUCAAUAGAGAUUUUUCUAUUUUUAUUUUAUUUUUAAAUUUCGAUACAAAAUAUGGCUUAUAUAUAGAUAUUUGUUCUAAAAAAUUUCAUAUGUGUGUCUUGGCCUUAUCCCAUCAGGAUAUAUAGUUAGAAUAGGACUAUGUAUUUUUUAUCAUUAUCAUAUUGGUACUUUGUAAUUCCUUAUAUAAAUAGCUCAUAUUAAUGAAUAAGAUGAUGAUUCUCGAUUCUCUUACUAUUUCUCUUUGUCUCUACAAUUUAUGCUUUAUCAAUAUCAUGAUUUUACCCACAAAAAUAAAAUAUUAAAAUUGACAAUUAAGUUAAAAGUUUAGAACUAAAUUUCGAUUCACAAAGAUACAAGGAAAUUUUAAUAAAUUUACAAAAUUUAUUUAUGGUAUAAAAGCCUAAUUUGAUAUGAUUAUUAACUUGGUCAUUAUUAAUAAAUUAAUUAAAUUUGGUAUAACGCAUCCAUAUUAAGAGGGUAAGAAAAUAUUUCAUAUUAAUAUGUAACAUCCAUUAAUUGUUAAGGUUAAAAUUAUAUUUUUACCUAAGAAUGAAAUAAUAUGAUUUAUUAAAUUGAUGAUGUGUCUAUCUGACAUGACAUGCCACAUAUGUUUAAUAGAAAAUGACAUACUACUACCAUAAACAUUAGCAAAACACAAAAAACCUAGCUUUCAAAAUAUUUAGACAAAAAUGACAUAGAGCCCAGACCCAAAACACAUGGAGGAGGCUUNNNNNNNNNNNNNNNNNNNNGCAGAAUCAUAUGGAUGUUGACCCAAGAAAUUAAACGAGAUUGAGAUUGGGAUAGCCGUCUAUGAAGAUGGAUGCAAAUUGAUAUAUGAAUCUUGGGUAUUGCCCACGAAAUUGAACGAGCUUUCGAUCCUCGUUGAUCUGCACCACCCGUGUGUAGGCUAUUCAUAGUGCUCGACUCUACGAGGUCACCAAGAAGAAGAUGUGAUUCACCAUCUAUGAAGAUGGAUGCAGAUUGGGCCAUGCAUGCCUUGGGUUAGUGCUCCUAAUUAAGGUCAUGGGCUAGAGCCUUUUGGACUUGUUGGUGGGUGGUGGGUAAGAGAGGAGUAUGGGGUUUGUCUGAUGUGUUUCUAUAAAAAAAAUAGAGUUCAAGCACUUGAGGGUUUUGAGGUAGCAGAAGCAGUAGCAAGAUUCAAUGAGUAUGAGUGCAGUAAGUACAGUUGCAGAAUCAAUUUAGUGACAACAGUAGUAUAGGUUAUCUUCAGCAAGUGUAGUAGCAGCUAAGUUUCCAGCAAGUGCAGUAGUAGCUAAAUUUCCAACAAGUGCAGCAGCAGCUAACUCCAACAAGUACAACAGUAGCUAACUCCAACAAGUACAGCAGUAGCUAACUCCAGCAAGAGCAGUAGCAGCUAAACCAAGACAUGGUUAGAGAAGUAGUAGUAACGGGAUAAGUAGUAGCAAUCGACAAUAGCAGCGAGAUGAGUAGUAGUAAUCGGCAGUAGCAACACGAUUGUGAACAGUUGGUAGUAGCAGCACAUUUAUAAACAGUCGGUAGUAGCAGUGCGUUAGUAAAAAAUAGCACAACAAGAGCACAUCGAGUGUAGUAGCAAAAAAAACAAAACGAGUAUGAGUGCUCUACAUUAGCAAAGACCAUGACGAGUGAUGUAAUAGAACCGAACAAUAGCAUAAUUCAUAAAUGAACUUUCCUUAUCAAUAAUUCAUAAAUGAGCUUUCCCUAUCAAUAGUAGCAGUCAUAAAUGAAUUUUUCUGUCAAUACUGCAUUUACUGAAACUGCUACUACACUAGCCAAACCAAUAAAAACUUGCUACUACAACACACUGAAAAUAGCUGCUAUUACUGAGCCACUAAAAACCUGCUACCGCACUUACUGUAGCUGCUACUACACUAGCUGAACCAUUAAAACUUUGCUACUACAUUUGUUGGAAGUGCGUGUUAUUGCUACUGCAACACGCACUGAAAAUAGCUGCUACUACAUUUGUUGAGCCGCUAAAAAUCUGCUACUGCACUUACUGAAGCUGCUACUACACUAGUUGAAUCAUUAAAACUCUGCUAUUACAUUUGUUGGAAGUGCAUGUUGUACUGAAAAUAGCUGCUACUACAUUUGUUGAGCCGCUAAAAAUCUGCUACUGCACUUACUGAAGCUGCUACUACACUAGUUGAACCAUUAAAACUCUGCUAUUACAUUUGUUGGAAGUGCAUGUUGUACUGAAAAUAGCUGCUACUACAUUUGCUGAGCCACUAAAAACUUGCUACUAGACCUGUAAAUGGACCGGAUCUGGAGCGGAUCGACCUAGAUCCGGAUCCGGAUCCGUAAUAGAAAUUUUAGAUCCGAAUCCGACCCGUUACCCGUCGGAUCUUUAAUAGCUAGAUCCAAAUCCGGAUCCAGCGGGUUAACGGAUACCCGACCCGUUAAUCCGAUCCGUUUAUAAUAAUAAAUAUUUUCAAAUUUUAAAUAAUAAUUUUUUAAUUUUAUCAUAAAUUUUCAUAAAACACUAAUGAAAUAUUAUAACAAAAUAAAUGUUUACAUUAAAAAUUGAAUUAUAUGACCAAAAUACUUCUUAACAAUAAACUAAUAUAUUCAAAAUACUAGACCUCCAAUGUAUUUAUUAGCAAAGAGUAUAAAAAAAAUAUACGCAUAAGUAAUCUUCAACUUCAUCAAAUGAUCAUACUUUAGAUGCAAUUUAGACGUUUAGGUUAUCCAAAUAAUUAUUAUAUUAUUGAAUAUUUAUCAAUAAUAUUAUAUUUAUAAAAAUAUUAUUUAAUUAUUUUAAAACGGAUCCGGGUCCUUAACGGACCGGAUCAACCUCGAUCCGUAUCCGAUCCGUUUAAUAAACGGGUUAACGGAUCCGGGUCCUUAGUGGAUCAACAUGUCUAAUUUUCGAUCCAAACCCGUUUAAAAACCACGGAUCCGGAGCGGGUCCGGAUCAAGAUCCGGUCCAUUUACAGGUCUACUUGCUACUGCACUUACUGAAACUGCUGCUACUACAUUUGUUGGAAGUGCGUGUUGCUACUACAACACGCACUGAAAAUAGCUGUUGCACAUUUGCUGAGCCACUAAAAAUCUGCUAUUGCACUUACUGAAGCUGCUACUACACUAGCUGAACCAUUAAAACCCUGCUACUACAUUUGUUGAAAGUGUAGUAGCAAUUAACUCUCCAGUAAAUUAAACAUGCUACUACAUUAGUUGAGCCACUAAAAACCUGAUACUGUAGUUACUGAAGCUGCUACUGCAUUUAUUGGAAGUGUAGUAGCAACACCAACAUUCCAGGAACAGCAAGUGCAGUAGCAGCUAAAACAAUAUAUGGUGGGGUCUGAUUUAAUUUGAUUUAUUUUAAGGUCAGUUUAAUAAAUUAAACCAUAAUGCAUGGUAAACAGAAAAUAAUUUUUCCUUAUUUGUUAAAAAUUGUCCUAGUUAGUUUAAUAACAACACAACUGAAUUUAUUUGUGUUUCAAAUUCUUUUGGAGGAUGUAUAUGUGAUUUGUUUUAUGUUUAAAGCCAUAAAUCUUAGGCUUUGUUAAGGCUCUCUAACGCUACUCAUAUAUAAAGGAAUUACGAGACAUUUACAUAUAUAUCGUCCUUUCUUUAUUGGUGUCGUUAUGCACUUGAGCUUUGAUACUUGUUAUCCGUCGAUAUGAUAAUGACCUAUUUUAGUACCAAUCUCUACGUACUCUUAUAUCAUCUCCAGCAAUAAAGUAAAUACUUUUAGCCAAGUCUGCCAAUAGUUAAAUUUAAAGUAGCAGGAUUUGAACUUUACCUAAAUUGGAAAACAUAAAACGUAGGUGUUAUGGGAGUCGUUAUGUAUCGUUUUACGAUAUUGUUUUCUGUUUUUUGUCAAAGAUGAUAGUUCUACCAAUAAAAUUUGGAACCACCGUGGAAACAAUGUUUCCUUGUUUUCAUUAUUUUCUGAGUAUAAUCAUUGUAAGUUAAAAAAAGGAAAAAAUUGGUAGUAUUUUUCAGUGGCAACAUGGUAAGAAAGCUGAUAGACAUAGUAAUUUAUGGCUCUGCGUGAGCAUUACCUUUCCGUUAUAUCGCCAAAAUUGAUGAGCAAAUAAAGUAGUCAAUGAUACACUAUUUGCUAAAUAGUGCUUGCUAGCUAUGAUUAUGAAGCAUAGAUUUUGUAGACAUGCCUAAUAAUAUUUAAGGGUGUUCCUACAGUAUUUGAGGGUGUUCCAACAGUAUAGGGUUUGAGCUCAAUGUCCCCCACCCCCCUGUAUUCUACGGUUUCGUUAACGGUUAUGGCGUGAGGGUGGCCAUUCUAGCCCUCAGAAUUUAAAAAAAAAAACGAAUAUAUAUAUAUAUAUACAGCCCUCUUNNNNNNNNNNNNNNNNNNNNNNNNNNNNNNNNNNNNNNNNNNNNNNNNNNNNNNNNNNNNNNNNNNNNNNNNNNNNNNNNNNNNNNNNNNNNNNNNNNNNNNNNNNNNNNNNNNNNNNNNNNNNNNNNNNNNNNNNNNNNNNNNNNNNNNNNNNNNNNNNNNNNNNNNNNNNNNNNNNNNAUAUAUAUAUAUAUCACUGCGUACUUCUCCGUACGAUCAAACAAGCUCUCUAGUUUCAUGGCUAUACUCUCAUUCACUUUCUGUCCACAAUAGUCGUUCUCUUGUUGUUGUGAUACUGUACUCUUUCAGUUUUUUUCUAUGGUUAGAUUCUCGACCUCUUAGAUGUGUAGACACUCUUACCUAUCAAUUGAAGCAUUUAAAAGCUCCAAUCAAUUAAGAGAGAGAAGCAUAUAUAAAACCCCAAAGUUUGCUCCGUAUGUUAUUUCCUCUUUGACUAGUCUUGUUGUAAACAGCAGUGCCCGUAAGAUGGAUCUGCAUAAUCCCAGAGCUUUGAAAUAGGGGGGUUGCUUAGGAAAUGGCCACUCAUACUGAUAAUCUGGAUUUGUGGUUAAGAAAUUUUGAUAAAUGAUCUGUUUUUAGUGCUUUAAUUGAUUUUUAACCAUAUUUUUACAAAUUGUUAAAAAACGACAAUAAUAAGGAAUUAAAAAUUCAAUAUUGCUACUACUUCAUUGGUCGUCCAAUUAUGCUGCUACUGUGCUGUGGUAAUCCAAUCUUGUUGCAACUGCCUAGUCGUCCAAUCUUGAUGUUGCUGCCUGAUCUUCUAAUCUUGUUGUUGCUGAUUGAUCGUCUAAUCUUGCUGCUACUGCACUUGUUAUCCAAUCAUGCUGCUACUGCUACUGCUACUGCUACUGCUACUGUACUUGUCGUCCAAUCCUGCUGCUGCUGCUACUGAUACUGCACUUGUUGUCCCAUAUUGAUGCCGGAAGUGAAAUCGGUGGAGAUCAAAAUAGAGUGGAUGACUAGUAGCACCAAGAUUAAACAAUCAGGCCGUAGCAGCAUGAUUCGACAACGAGUAUAGUAGCAGAAGAUUAGACGAUCAAUCAGUAACAACAAGAUUAGAAGAUCAGGCAACAACAUCAAGAUUGGACGAUUAGGCAGUAGCAAUAAGAUUGGAUGCAUAGCACAGUAGCAGCAUAAUUGGAUGACCAAUGCAGUAGCAUCAAUAUUGGACGAUAGUAACCAGCUUUAGCAAGUGAGAGUACCGUCUUUUUCUUCAGAAAAAAGACAUCAAAUUGUAGUUGUUGUACUCAAAACCUGUUACUACACGUACUAAAAAUAGCUACUACUACAUUUGUUGCUACUGCACUUGCUGAAGCUGCUACUACACUAAAACCAUGCUACUACAUUUUUUGGAAGUGUAGUAGCUGCUCAAUUUCUAGCAAAACAUCCUACUACAUUAGCUAAGCCACUGAAAAUAUACUACUGCAGUUAUUAAAGCUACUACUACACUAGCUAAACCGUUAAAAAUCUCCUACUGCAUUUAUUGGAAGUGAAGUAGCAGCAACGUUCCAGCAAAUGUAGUAGCAGCUAAAACAAUACAUGGUGGGGUCUAAUUUAAUUUGUAUAAUAUCAGUCUGGUAAAUUAAACCAUGGCAAGCAGGAAAAAAAAAAUCUGUCUUUAUUUGUUUAACAACAACACAAGUGGAUUUAUUUGUGUUUCAAAUCAUUUUAGAGGAUGUAUAUGUGAUUUGCUACAAUUUUAACAACUAAGGACAACUUCUUUUUCGCCUGCCAUGUAGCAUGAUGUAAUUUUACCAAACUAACCCCACAUAACUUAAACAACUAAAGAUAAAAUUUAGGGAGAGAGAGAGAGAGAGAGAGAGAGAGANNNNNNNNNNNNNNNNNNNNGGGGGGGGGGGAGGAGAACAAAAUGUCCAAUAUUGCUGCUACUCAUUAGUCGUCCAAUUAUGUUGCUACUGCACUGUGGUCAUCCAAUCUUGCCGUCUACUGCCUGGUCGUCCAAUCUUGCUGCUACUGCACUUGUCAUCCAAUCUUGCUGCCGGAAGUGAAAUCGAUGGAGAUCGAGCAAGAGUGGACAACUAGUAGCACCAAGAUUAGACAAUCAUGCAGUAGCAGUAAUAUUGGACAUUUUGUUCUCUUUCUCUGUUCCCUCCCCCCCAAAAAAAAAAUAUUUAGCUUUAGUUGUUUAAGUUAUGCGGGGUUAGUUUGGUAAAAUUACCUCAUGUCACAUGAUAAGUAAAGAAGUUGUUCUCAAUUGUUAAAAACUGUUAUUAUUUGUUUAAAAAUUAGAUGUUUUUGUGUUUCACAUCUUUAAAAAUUAAAAUAUAUUUCUACUACCAUUGCAUUCAAUAAGUUAUGCUACUAAUUGUAGGUAUCAAAUAAGAGAUUUGGAUACUCUUCCUUGAUCUUUAAAAAUCACAUCAAAACAAAACAAACGAACAAUUACAUAAUUAUCACGGGAGGUUUAUGGACAACUGCACUAUAUGCAUUAGCUAGCUUGCUUUCAGACUGGGUCAUCCCUGGUCAUUUUCUGGAAAUUUGUGGAACACAAACAGGCAUGGAAAUAUGAUUAUAUUCAUUGACUAUCAUUAUCACCAUGUUGGAAGUACCUUACGACGUACAAUUAGCCAUCCAUUAGCUUCGGGCUGCAAGUGUUGGAAUAAAAUUCAAAACCAUAGAAACAUCCAAAUAGAUGGGGCUGCAAGUGUGGAAUAUAUAGUUAUAAACCAUAGAAACAUACAAAUAAAGGAAUAAUAGAAACGACCAUAACAGGAGGUCUUCCUUGUUAAACAAGAACAAACGUGGUGCAUGAUAUACCUCUAUACCAACAUUAUGCCCAAACUUUAAUUAAACCCACAUGUUAAAGUGUUUGGAUUAUAAUCACAAAAUGUCUCGGUACGAUUAGGUUUUUUUUUUUUGNGUUUGAAAAAAGUUCAAAUCACGAUUGAUAUAUUAAGGUAAAAACAGUCUAAAAACACCAUUACCUACUCUACUACUAUCAUCUACAGAUAAUCAAGUAGUAGUGAGUUGAGACUCACACUAAUACAUAAAAUAAACUACUUAUUAAUCGUAUUCACUCACUUAUUCUAUACUUUUCAUGUUUUGAGAACUGUCUCAACGAACCUAUUUUCAUCUCAUUUCUAUUUUUUAAAGAUGAAAAUACAAGCACGAAAACGUUGCCGAACGCACCUUAAACUUGCAAAGAUAACAAGGCACCGUCUUUUGACAUUUGUACGAGUAUUGUGAAGGAAUUAGUAUUCUCCAAAAUCUGAAAAUCUUUUAGAGCCUCACAUGUUUCUCGAAAAAUACGGUAAAACCUCGAUGAAUAAAUGUUCGAUAAAUUAAUAAACUCGAUUAAAUAAUUAUUUUCUCCGGUCCUGACUCGAGACCAGUGUAUAUUACUAGGUUUUCUCGCUAAAUGCAUAAGAUAAUAAUUUUUUUAGAAUCACUUUAGGUCCCAACGAAUAUAUAAAAUAAUAAUUUAUUAAAUAAAUAAUUAAAAAUAUCACAAAAAAUAUUAAUAUUUGAUAAAAUACAUAUUAAAUAAGGUUUAUAGUACAAAUUUAGGAAACUCUUAACAAUUUUGAUUUCUCAAUUUAGUUAUUCUCAAAGUAUCCAUAUAUGGUGCUUCGUUUUUUUUUUCCUUGUAUUAUUAAAAAUUAAGAAAACUCUUGACAAAUUAAGGAAACUUUUACAAUAAUAUCCUCUAUAAAAUAAUAAAUAUUCAUUUAUCGAUAAAUAAAUAAAUUAUUCAUUUAUCGAUAAUAUAAUAACACUCCUCUAAAAUAAUAAUUUUUCAUUGUCCCAACAUUAUUCAUUUAUAGAGAUUUUACUGUAAUUUGUAAAAAUUUUAAAAGUCUACCACAUGCUAAUGGUUGCCAGAGCUGCUCUAUCCCUUCCUCAUCCAACAUAUUGGUGGUAGCUCAUUCCAGAUUCGUUAGUUUCUACUAUUGCUAAUGAGUCUGUGUAGUGAGUUUAGUUUCUACAUUGAGUAGAUUUUUGAGUUGUUUCAAGUGGAGUGUGGUACUCUUCCUAAUGUUGGUUAGGUUUAAUGAGGCCACUAAUACUCUUUAAUAUAAUUCUUCUAUUGAAAUAAACUUUUUGAUAAAAAAAAAAAUUUGUACGUAUCAAAUAAAAGAUUUGGAUACUCAGGCUUGAUCUUUAAAAAUCACGUUAAAACAAAACAAACAAACACGUAAUUAUCACAGGAGGUUUCUGGACAACUAUACUCAAUGCUUUAGCUACCUUGAAUUGCUUUCCAAUCCAGACUGGGUCAUAUCCCUGAUCAUUUUCUGGAAAUUUAUAUGGGUGUUUCUAGAUGAACCCAGCAAAUUGCUAGUUAAACCCAACAGUUCUAUUUGUGUCCUUCUUUUUCCAGUUUUACUCUUUGUCUAUUUAAACCCAGCAAUGCAGCAUAUCUUUUAUGAGUUAACCCAUCACUUUUCUAUCUCUUCCAUUACAAGCAACAUUUCCAUAUUAAUGUUUCAAAAGCAAUACAAAGAAUGAGAGCAAAUGAUUGAUCUAUGAUGAUUAUUUUGUGUAAUAUCUACUUAAAUUUAAGACUUCACGUACAGUAAAUUGAAAAACAAAAAGAUCAUAAAUCUUAGGGAUAGCAAAAGAAUCUUAGAGGGUAAAUUCAAAUAAGAGAAGAGGGAGAUAGUGUGAGAGAGAUGCAAGACAAUAGUCCUCCAAGAUUGCUACCCACCAGGCCACCAUCAAUUCUUAUUCUCAUACUUUAUGAAAUCUGGGUUAACUUUUCUUAUUCUCAAUGUCUGUUAAAGAAUCUGGGUUCGUCCCAAGCUCUCAUCAAAUUUAUAAUUAUGCCCUCAUGUUCCUACACCAUACAAUCAAUCUUGAUGAUAAUGAAGGACAUAGGAGAGGUUUCUUGGAGGCAAGAACGUACUGCAAUGGAAUUUGCAAUUUUCAAUUCAUCGUUUUAUUCAAAUAGGGGUAAACAUGGAAAGAUAAUUAAUGAUGGGUACAUUUAGCAAUUUGCUGGGUACAUUUAGCAACACCCAUUUAUAUAUGGAACACAAACAGACAUGGAAAUAUAUGAUAUAUUCAUUGACUAUAAUAUCACCAUGUUGGAAGUACCUUACGACGUACAAUUAACUUCAAGCCGCAAGUGUGGAAUAAAAACCAUAGAAACAUCCAAAUAAAUGGGGCUUGUAACUUUGUAAGUGUGGAAUAUUUAUUUUGGUCAAUAUGCCCUGAGACCCCGUAAAAUUAUGUCUGAACUUGUUGUAUUUAUGUUGUGGAUGUACAGGGCUUGAUUCCGUUUGAGUUCGGAGGUUUUAUUUUCGAAGUGGGCUUGGAACAACCCAAUCCACUUUGGGUCACAAAAUGUGUUAAGAGUCAAGUUGAGGGCAACAAUGUGAUUUCACACCUUAGGUAAUAAAUUGAAGAAACUGAUAGGGAAAUUAUAAACUGUACCGGAUCACCACGUGACAUUUGGUCUCAUCUAAUACUAUUGGUCUAAGUGUUUUUAUCUUAUUUCUUAUUGGUCUAUUUAUUUACCUCUCUUUUUAUUUUCACCCCCCUGACGGUCUUCUGCUGAGAUGACGACGGAGAUGUAGUUGUGGAUUUUCAAGAACCACCGUUGGAUUCAACCCCAGGAAAUGAAGAUCGAUGAGAGAGAUGGUGGAGAUAUACCCAGACCAAAACAUUAAGUUUCUCUCGCGCAGUUCCUCAUCACUACCCCUGAGGAUUAAAACUAAUCAAUAAACAUGCUCUCUUAUCCAGCGAGAUGCACCAAGCGCGCACAUGCUUCAUAUCAAAAGUAAAAAAUUGUAAUUUCACCGCUUGACAAAAUCUAAAGACGGCCGCAGUACUCGGUGUACUGCGUCCCCGCCAAGUCAAUUGUAUUCCUAGCACGUUGCAGCAAGAAGUCACUGGAACUAGCUUAAACGGUUGGUUAUAAUACUUCGUUCUUAUUGAUAUAUAGAUAAAUCUAAUAAUAUUAGGAUUUAGGACUAGGCUAGGUCUUCGUCAACGGCCACUAGCUACCACAACUUAACGUACAAGAGGGGAUAAAUCCUUAUUAUAAAGUCCUACGUACAUGUAUGCAGUGGUACACUUGUACCCAAAAAUCCCAUCAGUUUUCAUUUGCAUGAAGAAUAGCAAUAAUUAUGAUUAAUUAACUUGAUCGAUGGAUCGAUGAAGUCCCAGAAGUAACUCAAGUAAGGUUAGUUUGGCUUCGAUUCUGGAAUUGCUGAUUUCCUUUCUGAAAAGUUACCACAUGCAUGUUUACUCUCUGCACUAGUAACUUUUCUAUAUACUGAAUAUGUAUGAUGCUAUUUCAAUUGUUUCAAGAAAUGGAAUACCAUGAGCUGAAUUUCUAUCUUGCAAGCUUAAUAAUAACGUAAUGCUACUUCAAUUUCAGAGCGCCAAUCGUUGCUCCCUAGCUACCAGUAGUACUAGUUGCCUAGUUGAUCCUGCUUUCCUGAAGUAUGUAUAUGCUCUUUCUCUGCAUAUAUAUAACAGUAGUGGUCUAGCUUCCAAGUACAGUAACAAACUAUACGGGCAGCGGCGGAGUUAGGAUUUAAAGUUAAAGGAGGUUGAGAUUUAGUAUAACAUAAUUUACUGUUAUCAUAUUAUAAAAAAGAAAAUUUUAAUGUAUAAUAAGUAGUUAAUAAUAUGUUGUUUUAAUUAUCUCUAUGUUUUAAUGUUGGUCAGUAAUUCCUUCCUAAACUAUUGGUUUUCUGUUAUGAAUGCAUGAAUAUAUUCCCUAGGGGGGUUCUAAUGUAGUUAAAUGAGCAGAUUUUCUACUAUUUCUCUAAUGGCUUAACAUAUUUACAUAGGUUAGAGAAUUUUUUUUUUUUUUGGGGGGGGGACCCCUUCACAUCUCAUGGUAGCUCCGCCCCUGUGUACAUGGGUUGUUUACGAUACCGGGGUGUAUAUUAUAUACUCAUUUUAUCACUAACUGAAUAAAAAUUAUCUAAAUAAUUACUAUCUUUACUAAAACGACAAUAAAUUUAUUAUCAUAUUUGUAUCACAAAUAAGUAGUUAAUCAAAAAUAUUCCCAGACGUACGGUUAUAUAGAUAACUAAUUUUUCAUAUCUUUUUCAAAUUUCAGUACCGCGGUUCGGAAAAUUGCUGGACAACGAAGACUUUCCUCGGCUGUAUUAGUAUAUUUCCAUAAAGCGUCUCAUCCAGCAUAAGAGAACGGCAUAAAAUAAUUAUGUCUAAAUAUAAUGGAUCAAACGGAGAUACCAGCAUGGGGUUUGUUUUAUUAGCCUAUCUAGCUAGUCUGUCUUCUGCAUGAGUGUUUCUUUUUCUUUUGGGAAAGGCAUAUAUAAUUGCUAAUUUGUUUUUUUAUUAUGAUGUUAAUUUGCUACCUUAUAUUUUAUUCAGUUAAUUUGUUACCCUUCUAUCAAAUUUAUCACUUUAGACUUUCAAAAUUAACCAAUUUACUUAUCAAAUUUUCAAAAUCGAUCAACUUUAACCUUUGAUUUUCAGAAUUAAUUCAUGUUUGGAUGAAGAAUUGAAGAAAUUAAAAUGACGGAAAUAUAGCAAAUUGGCUAAUUUUGAAAACAUAAGUUAGCAAAUUAGGAAAAAUAAUAUUUAGGGUAGCAAAUGGGCUACUUGUGAAAACUUAAGGUAAUAAAUUGGCUGAAAUAAAACCUAAGGUAGCAAAUUGACACUAAACUAGGGUAAUAAUUUGGCUAAAAAGCCUUUUGGAAAAGAAAAUUCUCCUUUCGAGAGGGCUUGGACACUCAAAAAUUUAGGUUAAGGAUUCAUUGAGGUUUUUGUUCGAUGAUCAAUUAAUUGUGGUUGACGAUCGACUUCAUUAACAUUAAUUGUUUUUGUUCAAACAGCAAUAGCAUAGUUAUGUCUAGUAUGGUGAAUGACGUCAAUAGUCCUGAGGCGCAAGGACGUCCAAUGCUUGGGAAACAAGAACUUGGAGAACUUCAAGCAAGCAACAAAUGGAAAUGGCCAGAAGUUGAGGAAAUUCUUUCAUAUUUGAACCCGUGGUGGAAUACGAUACUGGUAUCUUCUUGCGUGAUUGCAGUUUUAUUUGAUCCUUUGUUCUUUUACAUUCCACUCAUCAAAGAGGAAGAGAAGUGCAUGGGAAUCGAUAACCAAGCGAGGACUGCAGCUCUGGUUUUACGAUCAGUCACGGACAUCCCUUUCCUAGUGCAUAUCAUAUACAAACUUAAUGAUGCUAUCACUGCAGCCUCAAAGGUUCCAAGGGAUACAAAUCCGAAUUCGGAAUCCGGAUUAGUAUCCCGUGUCCAGAAUCUUCAGAUGGUUCAGUUUGUUAAGGCAUGCUCUCGCAAGUUGUCCUGGCGAUCUUUCCUAACUGAUGUUCUCGCAGUUUUCCCCAUACCACAAGUGAGACAAUGUCUUUUGGUAUAUAUUGAUAAUUAGCUAGAGAUUACCUAACCGACUGUAAUUAAUGGACUUGUUUAAAUUUUAACCCACGAUUUUUUGUCCAGCUGCUAAUGGUAGGAUUGUUUUUCAACCUUGGAGGUAGUAACUACUUGUUGAAAAGAAAGAUUUUGAGCAGUUUUCUUCUACUUCAAUAUCUGCCCAGAAUUUAUAGAAUUUAUCUUUCGUCUAUUACGAUGACACAUUCCGUACUAUGGGUUAAAGCUGCAUUCAAUCUUUUCCUCUACAUCCUUGCCUGUCAUGUAAGUUUAUUCAUCUGAAGGCUCAAUUCAUUAUGAUUUUUUCUUUUAUUUUCUUCCUUUGAAUUAGAUAAGAUACUUGAAUUGACCAAUGGUGUGUGUUAAUUUCUAAACCGUCAAAAUAGAGCAUCUUUAGUACGUACACGGCGUAUAUUUACACAUACAUAUGUGAAUGGUCAAGAUUAAAUGAUAUAAUUAUAAAUACAUUAUGGUCCCAACAUAUAAAUUGUUAAAAACUGCUAAAAUUACAUCGUGUACUUAUACAUCAUGCAUACAAGAACAUAAAAAAAAAUAGCAAAUAAUGCAUCGAUACUUACUAAAUUAAGUGUGCACGACUAUGGUACAUACUUACUUUGAAAUUAUAGUAUUUAACAUGUGCGUUGUUGCAAGACAAUAACCGAUUAAAAAAAAUCAUUAAUUGCUUAUAUUAUCCUAGCUAGGUGGACACUGAUCCUAUGGCAGACUAACAUUCAAAUUUGUGUUCAAACAGAUAGUUCUAAACUUCUAUUACCAGUAUCGAUCAACAACAAACUUGAUACGAGUUUUUUUUUUUUUUUAGAUACUCGGAGCUUUUUGGUACUUCUUUUCCAUUCAGCGAGAGACAUCAUGUUGGUAUCAAAGUUGCAUUACAAGCCAACCAGAAUCAAAAUGCACGUUUUAUUGCCAUCACGGAACUACAAUUAGUGUAGAAUUGAAUACAACUCUAAAUCAUAAUUGCGUCCUAAAAGUUCCAUAUUACACUAAUGAUCCACCAUUCGAUUUUGGAAUAUUUUUUGAUGCCCUCAAAAAUGAUAUUCAAGGGCCCAUAAAUCUUCAACAUAAGCUUGUUUACUGUUUCUGGUGGGGCUUGCGAAAUUUAAGGUAAUGUUCAUUAUAAGCGUAUAGUUUAUAUAUAACUUAUGUCCGUCAUUAGUUGACAUUUCAGUAUUUACUUAUCAUUAAUUUAACAAUUUUUUCUGUGGCAGCAAUUUUGGCACAAAUUUGCAAACAAGUACCCAUUUGUUGGAAAACACCUUUGCAAUUCUUAUUUCUGUCACCGGCUUGCUAUUGUUUUUAUAUCUCAUUGGAAAUUUACAGGUUGGAAAUUAAUCACGCAAACGUUAUGUAUAUGUUAAAUAUAUAUACUUGUAAUAUAUAGCAAAUUUAGCAAUGAUUUGAGUAGGUGAUUGAUGGAGUACUCAUAUGAAACAGAUAUAUAUAGCGAACGCAACUACCAAAGCGGAGGAGGCCAAAGCGGAGGAGGUAAGAGAGAAGUUUGAGACCAAAAGGCACGAUAUAGAAAACUGGAUGACACAAAAUGGUCUCGAGGAAGACAUGAAGGCAGAGAUCAGGAGAAACAUCAAGCAAAAACUGGAAGAGGACAUAAGUGUAGAUCUGGAUGAUAUUAUUUCUAUUCUUCCCUGGUAUACCAGGAAACCUCUAAAGCGCGCUCUUUGCAUGAAUACGCUAAGAAGAGUAUGCUACUCAUCCCAGUAUGCACCAUUCUAUGUAUGAAUUGUCUGAUAUUGUAAGCUAGCUUAUCAAUGAGUGGUCUAUAUACACAUACGUAGGUACCCAUGCUUAACAAUAUGGAUGAGAAAGUCCUGAAAUUGAUGUGCGACUAUCUGAAGCCGAUGAAGUACCAAGAGAAUCACCUGGUUUUUAAAAUGGGAGACCCACUUGAUCGAAUGGUCUUCAUUACAGAAGGGGUUAUGUGGACUUACAAAGCUGCUACUGAGAGUACUGGAGAAGCAAUAGGACUGCCUACUUCUGCAUCCAUCGACACCAACGUCCUCAAGAAGGGUGAUUCUUAUGGACACGAGCUUCUGCUUUAUGCAUCAUCAUAUUAUAAGAUUCCUACCUCACCCAAAAAUUUACUGUGUCACACAAAGGUAGAGGCGUUUGUUCUCAUGGCCAACGACUUGACAGACAUAGUAAAUAAAUGCAAAAGCAAAAAGUUGUGGUCUUUGGACAAUGAUGCUUCUAACGAUGAGGCGAGGGAUCGGUUUUAGCUACGAACAUCGAUCAGCGACCCCACCCAUUGGUUACAGUGGGACAGUGGGUCAUUCACCAAAGCUGAAGCCUGCAAAUCACCCGCAUGCGGCCAGUGAUCUACGGAACUUUUAUACAUAAACGAAAAUGCGGUUACGGAGACUUAUAAAUUUGCUUAGUAUAUCUCAUAUUUGUUGUAUUUUAAUUUUAUUUUUAAAUAUAAACAUUUACUCAUUAGACCUCUUUUUAAAUUUUUAAAAUAGCCUUGUUUAUAUAAUUUACAUAUGUAUUAAUAUAUUACUCAUUACACCUCUUAUUCACUCACUAUACCUCUAAUUCUUUUUGUCCUUUUUUUCUUUUUGCAUGCAAACUUCCAUUUCUGACUUCUACUUUUCAAUUUUUUCUUUUUUCUUUUUAACGCAAAUCUCCAUUCCCAACCUUGAUUUCUUUAUUUUCUUUAUUUUUUGUAUUUUCUUAUUUUGCAUAAAAUGUCACUUGACAUUCAUUUUUUUUAUCAAAUUCUAAGAAAUAAUUUUCAAUGACAACAAUUUUUUAGAAAAGUUAAUUCGAAUCAUGAAAAAUACUAUUCUCUUAAAAAAAAUUAAAAAAAAGGAUUGUGUCUCAAAUUUUAUUUAUCGAUCAUUAAAAGAAUGUUCUUACAUGAACUAUUCUAUAUUUAUGUUACUUUUGUAUUUAUAGUUUACAUAUACUAUUUUUUUCGUAAGUUUAUGUUUUUUGUUUUUAUACUUCAUGAUNNNNNNNNNNNNNNNNNNNNNNNNNNNNNNNNNNNNNNNNNNNNNNNNNNNNNNNNNNNNNNNNNNNNNNNNNNNNNNNNNNNNNNNNNNNNNNNNNNNNNNNNNNNNNNNNNNNNNNNNNNNNNNNNNNNNNNNNNNNNNNNNNNNNNNNNNNNNNNNNNNNNNNNNNNNNNNNNNNNNNNNNNNNNNNNNNNNNNNNNNNNNNNNNNNNNNNNNNNNNNNNNNNNNNNNNNNNNNNNNNNNNNNNNNNNNNNNNNNNNNNNNNNNNNNNNNNNNNNNNNNNNNNNNNNNNNNNNNNNNNNNNNNNNNNNNNNNNNNNNNNNNNNNNNNNNNNNNNNNNNNNNNNNNNNNNNNNNNNNNNNNNNNNNNNNNNNNNNNNNNNNNNNNNNNNNNNNNNNNNNNNNNNNNNNNNNNNNNNNNNNNNNNNNNNNNNNNNNNNNNNNNNNNNNNNNNNNNNNNNNNNNNNNNNNNNNNNNNNNNNNNNNNNNNNNNNNNNNNNNNNNNNNNNNNNNNNNNNNNNNNNNNNNNNNNNNNNNNNNNNNNNNNNNNNNNNNNNNNNNNNNNNNNNNNNNNNNNNNNNNNNNNNNNNNNNNNNNNNNNNNNNNNNNNNNNNNNNNNNNNNNNNNNNNNAGAAUAAAUAUAAUAUUACUUUUUUGUUUAAUUAGUAUCCUUAAUAGUCAUUGUGUAAGAGAAUAGAUAUGUCAUUUUAAUAAUUCAUAAUGAAGUGAGGUCAAGUGAGAAAAUUUGGAGGUCCUAAUAGCCGCACUCAUAAAGGAAAAUGAUUCUUGGCCUUGAUAAAACUUAAAAUUUGUGGCCUUAAUCUUAGGUCGCAUGCUACCUACGUCACUUAGACACAUCACUAAUUAAAAAGAUUAUGUCCUGUCGUUCUUAAGCAAAAAAACAAUCUUAUCUUUCUAAAUCCAAUGGCUUUAGAUUAUUUUGUCUUUUUAUUGAGAGAGAAAAUUAUUUUUGUCUUUCUUUUAUAUUUAAAAUAUAUAUAUUUCUAGCAUUUUUUCUUUUCUUUUCAUCACUAUCAUGGAUUGAACACUAAAAUAUAGUGUGAAAAUACAUAUAUUUCAUAAAUAUAUAUAUAUAUAUGAAAUAUAUAAGAAGAAACAAUUUCGUGCAGGAGAAAAAAUUUACAUUUGUAUAUAAUUUGUUCAAAAUAAAGUUUAUAUAUACGUAAUCAUCCAAAAGAAAUUUGAUAGAGAUUUUCUAUUUUUAUUUUAUUUUUAAAUUUCGAUACAAAAUAUGGCUAGCUUAUAUAUAGAUAUCAUAAUUUUACUCAAAAAAAGUAAAUAUUAAAAUUGAUAAUUAAGUUAAAAGUCUAGAACUAAAUUUUGAUUCACAAAGAUACAAGGAAAUUUUAAUAAAUUUAUGAAAUUAAUUUAUGGUAUAAAAGCAUAAUUUGAUAUGAUUAUUAACUUGGUUAUUAUUAAUAAAUUAAUUAAAUUUGGUAUAAACACAGAACACAUCCAUAUUAAGAGGGUAAGAAAAUAUUCUAAAUUAGUAUGUAGCAUCCAUUAAUUGUUAAGUUUAAGAUUGUAUUUUUACCUAAGAAUGAAAUGACAUGAUUUAUUAAAUUGAUUAUGUGUCUAUGUGACAUGACAUGUCACAUAUGAUUAAGGUCAAAAAUCUUAGGCAUGCCACAUAUGAUUAAGGUCAUAAAUCUUAGGCCUUAUUAAGGCCCUCUAGCACUACCCUAAUAUAUAUUAGUGCGUACUAACAUUCUUACGAAGACAAGGAGCACCGAAAGAAGCAAGAAGUACAGGAAGUGUUGCAAUACGGGAAAUCAAAUUAAUAGCCUAACAAAUUAAGGAAUGGUAUGUUAUGUGUUUUAAUUAGGCUUACAUUAUUUUCCCUUGCGGAUAUCAAAUUAAUUUGGUAAGUGCUUUCCAGUUUCGACCAAAAGACAAUGGCAUCCAAAAUAAGAAAAAUAAUCCAGAAGUGCUUGAUUUUUUUUUUUUUCAGCUUGAUGGGCCUUCUGUCGCUAAUUAGCUUGAUGGGCCAUACCAAAACUAACUCAUUAUACUCAUGAUGAGGACGGAAACAAUCCUCAUGUUUUUGUGUCGUAUGGAAACUAACUCAUUUCCGAUGAGGAGAUUUGCAUUUCCAAUGAGUCGAAGCCGAAGUGCCCACAAUAUUUUUGCAUAUGAACUUCAAAUCUUAACAAUAUUUCUAAGAAGAUAUCUUUCAACAAAAUUAUUCACAAAAAAUUACAUUGAACCCGUUUGUUAUUCCAAGAGUUAUUGAGGUUGUUUGGCAUCCUCCAGUCAUUGGGUGGGUGAAGAUUAAUUCGGAUGGAGCUUGGAAGCAUGCAGAGGGUGUUGGAGGUUUUGGUGCUGUUUUUCGUGACUUUAAAGGUCACGUUCUUGGUGCUUUUUCUUCCAACAUUGACAUUCCCAGUUCAGUAGCAGCAGAGGUGAUGACAGUUAUAGUUGCUAUUGAGCUUGCUUGGGUACGAGACUGGAAACACAUUUGGUUAGAGGUUGACUCAUCACUUGUGUUAGACUAUCUACAGUCUCCUUUGCUUGUACAUUGGCAUAUACGUGUUCAUUGGCUUAAUUGUUUACGUUACAUAUCGAAGAUGACCUUUCGAUCUUCUCAUGUUUUUCGUGAAGGGAAUAAGGUUGCAGAUGCUCUGGCUAAUCACGAUACAUCAUUAACACAGCUGGUUUGGUGUGAUUCACCUCCUCUUUUUAUUUUGUCAUAUUGUAGUAGUGACCUUAUGGGUCUUCCCCAAUUUCGGUUUUCAUAGUUUUGUUUCGUUGUUGUUUUGUUAUGAGAGGUUUUGGUCUAAUCCCCCUCUCUUGAUGUUUCUUUUUUUCUUUUUUAAUACAUAAGAGUGUUAGGGGGUCAUUCCUCUCUCACUCAUCUUUCAGCAAAAAAAAAAAAAAACCCGUUUGUUGUUCCUUUGGUGACAAUAAGAGGUUCUUCUCUCUUUCUCAGUCAUAUUUCAGCCCAAAAAUAAACAUUGAACUGGUAAUCCGGUUUGUUAAUAAAUUAAAGCGUGUUAAACUAGACGGAAAAAGUGUAGUUAGGUAUAUGCACCAAACCUCCGUUUCCAAAACUUGAGAAGAUACGCAUAUCUUCCACUGAAGCAAGGGUGCAUGGCAGUUGUAGACCUCCAUGUUUGGCUUGUUUUAAAUACCAAUGUAACACCAUGAUUAGUGUAGAUACUACGUACGUUCCAUGGAAUAAUUCUCAUCGAUCUCUGGCUAUGUAUAUAUUACAACAGCAAUUAGGUAGCUAGGUUGCUUCAUGAGUCAUGAUCACCAAACCAAACAAACCAUGAUUAUCUGAUUGAUAUGUAGCGAUAAUAUAUUUGGAAAACAAAUCGAUCAUGAUCUCGAUCAGUCGGGCACUAAAACUGCGAACACGUACGUACGCCACCAAGGCAAUAUUCCACCAUGAUCCACCACAUCGCUUAGUUCCGGUCGGCCAACUCGCGUAGUGGCUCAGAAAAUAUAUAACCAAUUAAGUGAUCGAUCAACUGAUCAUGACUCAUGAAUGUAAGUUAUAUAACUAUAUGAAUAUAGAGCUUGUUAAUCAAGCUAACUUGUAUGUAAUUAUACUUGUUGGUAAUGUUAGUGCUAGCUCCACUCCAUGAUCGAUCACUAGCUAUGAGUACGACUAUGAAGUCCACUCCAUAUACAUCCAUAUCUAUGAUCGAUCACCAUGAGGUACAUCAUCACUCAUCAGUGAAGACGUACUCGAUCGAUCUUGUAGCUAGUCUUGAAGAGCUAGUACGUACAUCAUCAGUGAAGACGCACAUACUCUUGUAGUCUUGCACUUCAUUAUUUGAGAUAUGGAUAUGGGACUAUGCGUUAUCGACUAGCUAGCUAGUAUAACCAACUUUUCAACAAGCAGUCACGUAGUUUGAGCGGUUAACCCUAGCUAGCUACGUACUUGUCUACGAACCAGUCGUACGUACGUAGCUUAACCAAAAUACAUAUCUACGUACACGUGAGCUGUUGUUGAUCGACUUGAAGUAAUGGAUCGGAAACCAUCGAUCAUAUAUACAUGAUGAGGUCGACAUGCUUCAUUGUUCAAAAAUAUCAGAACACACGUACGUACGUGUUCGAUCCAAAAAAAAACUCAUGCCAUGGAUAACCAAUAGUACUAGCUUUUAAUUUGAUCGAUCUCAAUAUUUCUCAAACCGUAGUUUUAUACGUAUUAUAGUAUACACGAUUACACUAUCAGCCCCAUCUAUACGCAUGUAUCUGAUUCGUGAUUUGAUGUAUUAAAACACGCUUGGGAUUUGACGGCCUAAAUAAGCUAGCUAGCCGACAUAUAUAUACGCACAGUUGUUUUGAUUUCUUCUGAAAAUUAAAGUUUGAAUUAAUUAGUGUACGACGCUACUAUAACUUGAGGGUUCAGGCACUUAAUAAUAAUUAUAGAUAGCGGCGGUGUUAAUAAUCUGAUAAUUAACAAACAAUUAGCUAGGGUUCAAAGUCAGACUCUCUGUACUGUAGUAUGACUGGCCCACAAGAUCGAUCGGGCUCCACUGCUGUGUGAAGUAUGAACAUUUGGGAGGGGCCUACCGGCCGUUCAUACUUGACUGUUCCGAUCCGGUGAGGGUUGGUCGGGUUCGUAUUCAGAAUUGGACAGUUGAUGAGUCGACGGAGACAUUCUUAUUUGACUAUUACAAAACAAGACACACAGGUCCGUCACGUCGUCGAUCAUUUUCCAAUUAUCAAACCACGAGUACGUCCCAAAUUAACUAAACGCUCGCCAUCACAAGCCCCUACAAGUUCUAGGGUUUUCUACUUUCUUUUUCCUGCAUGCUGUGGUAUCUGAUCGAAUUAGUACAUCCGAUCCUAAAGGGAAAUCCAUAUAUUUGAGUUGUUUCUUGCCAAGCAAGCAAGCUUAUUGUUUGCUUGCUGUAAUAUAGUUGGGUUUCGUUUUCUGAAACAGUGUUUUUCUGAAAUAAAGCUGCUUGCAUUGCAGCAUCUUCAGCUCCCUAGUUGAAGAUGAUGGUAUAAGCUUAAUUAAGGCCGGGAUAAUAUCAAUCACCCUAGUUGUACGUUAGGGUUAAAAUAAUGCAUUAUGAAAAUUAUUGACUAGAACAUUCCAAUUUCUGUAUAUCAUUUCCAUAGAUAAAUUACCCUAAAUUAAGCAUGACAUAUAUAGCGCCAGCUGUUUAGAAAAAAACAAGUUGAACAAAAAACUGAUCUUGAAAACCAGAGCCAAGUCUUGAAUGUCAGUAAUCUCAGAUAUGGUGGUCUGUAUACGGCAAAUGGAUUGGGCAGGUUUUUCUAACUUGUCUCAUUUUUUUAAGCGAGGCAUAGUAUAUAUGUAGAGGUUUGACAAUAUAUAUUCACCUAAUUUUAAGAAUAACUGAUGAAAUAUAUUCAAGAGUCAUGAUCAACCAGAAGAAGAAUAUUCGUAAGUAUCGAAAGGAACUUGUAAUAUAGUACGUACUAUUUCGUUUUCACUUUCGAAGAAGAAGUACGUACUAGCUAGCUAGUUGGUUCUGAAGUGCAAACAUAGGAUUUUUUUUGCAGAUUAAUGUAGUAAAAACUGUAAUAUGAUCCAUAUAUAACAAAAAGAAAAGGAAUAUAUACAGCACACUUGUGUGACUUGAAUCUGAAUUCCACAAGUUGAUCUGGUCUCGUCUCAUCUAACACAACAUGUUUUAUACCAAUAAAAUUUUAGAUAGUCAUGCAUGGAUGAUUUUUUUCAAUAUUUCCCACUCGAUGGCGAUUUGUUUAAAUGUCAGCAUAUAGGAAUGAAUUUUAUUUGACCAUUAUUUCAACGGUAUUGUAUCUGAGUUUAUCAAUUUUUCAGAAGAAAUUCAUUUUCCACUUGUAGUCUCUAGCUGGCUCUGACUUUGGUGUUCUUGUAACGUUGUUGGUAUCGGGAGGAAUCCUAAUUCAAGAACAAGUCUAACAUAUGGAACACGAAAUGGUUUUUAAGAGAAUACCUUAAUCAAUUUGAGGCAAUUGUUAUUAUUCUGAGUUGGAUAAUUAGAGAGAUAUACAUAUAGUAUUGUACGUUGCAGUUACUUUAACUUUCAUUCGUCUCGUCUCAUGACUCAUCAGUUUUAGUCCAUCCAGUUUAGGCAUAUUUUCAGAGAAGCAAAUUUUGUUGCCGACAAGUUGGCUGACCUCUGUCAUGAUAGACUGAGCCCCUGCUGUUUGGUUGUCAUGUCUCCCCGUUACUGUGUUCCCAGCGUUCCAUCUAUAUCAGUUGGGCUGGGGUUGUGUUCGUGGCUUUUCGUUGUAGUUGUUUCUAUGCUUGUAUCACAAAAAAAAAAAAAAUCAUUUUAACCAAUUGAGAGGUUGCAUGUCUUCACUCCUAUAUAACCAAGUACUUUUCUAAGCAUAAACUCUUUUCAUUUUGUCCCGACGACACGUCCGAUGACGCUAUAUCAUUGAACAUGAGUUGUGGAUGCCUGUCUGGUGGUCGUGCCUUCUAGGUUAGUGGCGGUGGAAGAAGAGAGUUAAGUUGUUCAAGGAGGACGGACCGAGAAGUUGUUGGCGGGUUUAAGUGAAGCAUGGGUUGCUCUAACAUGGAUGUCAUGUCAUCAGAGAGGAGUUGCGGUGCAUGUAUUGAGGUGAAUUAGAUCAGAGCGGCAAUGUGGUGCGACAGGGAGAACAUGGCGAUGAAGGCCUGCCCAAAUCGAUUUACUCGAUACAGUUUGAGUCUCUCUGAUACGUUUUGUUCCAACUUGGAGGGUGGUGUGCUGCUUCCUCGUGAUAUGACACGGACUGUGGGGCUCUUCUAGCUAGUGGUAGAGCGACGAUAUGUGCUCAUAUGCGUCGCGCGCAGGUUCUUUAGGCUAGAUUUUUUAGGAAGCAUGCUUCUUAAGGUCUAGUGGGUUAUAGGUUGGGGCUAGGUCUGAGGGUUUUAUUUUUUUUUUUUUAAGCGAGGGUUUCAGGUCUUGAUCUGUUUGGUGUCAUUGGUCGAGUGGAUGUGCCAUGGUUUUGGUGUUGUCCCCAUGGACUAUCAGUUUAAAGUCGGUGUUUUUUUUGUUGUCAAUGUAAUAAGGAGAUACCUCUACGUAUGUAUACUAACAGUUUUGGUAUAUGACGUUGGAAGUGGUUGUCUUUUCUUGAGAUCGGCUGUAAGGACAUAUUUAUCGAGGCUUAUGAAAUAUAUUUGGUUGUAGUCGAGCAACAUCAAUUCAUGUCGUUGGUAUUUUAUUUAGUGCUAUGUGACCGGGAUUUUAGAUAGUAUCAGAUAAACUAAAACUCGAUCACGAUCCAAGUUGGUGAAGCGAGAUUGAUACUUGAUAGUGCAGUUUCUUUGUUUUUUUGGUUACAUGAUAGUGCAGUUUCUUUGCUACAUUAUCUUUCGUUUUCUUAAACCUAACGAGACAUUUUACCGUAAAAAUGGUGAAUGAACAGAGACAACUGUCAAACGUCAUAAAACGCGAUCCUGGAACGGGCGCAGUUUAUAAGACUGUGUGCACGUGUCGACACCCCUUAGUUGACUUUGCUCCUAUCUCCGCUGUCGUUACCUCAACCUCAUUUUCAUUACACCGGCACCGGCUACCGCCGGUCACCACUUUCACACAGACGAAUAUAGAAACAAGCCUCGCAGCCCAACUUUGAAAAAGGUAACAAACCAAAAAGCCAAGCUCUUUAGUUCACUAAUCCAUCCAUACCUUCCUUGAGUUCCUUCCUUCCUCACUCAUUGUUUCAUACCAGAAAGAAGAAGCGUGUUCCAACUCAAAGACUCAACCUUUCUUGCAAGGUCCGUCUUUUAUUGUUCAUGCUUGUUUUUGUGUUAUUGUUAUUGUUUUGUGCAUACAACACAGCCCAUUAUUUAGUUUUGCUUGAUUUUGAUUUGGGUUUUGUUGUUGUUUGUGGUUCAGGUCUGAGCAGUAAUGAUUGAGGCAGCAAAACCCAGUUCAGAAUUCAGAGUUCUUGGCAAGGGUUUAAGUGCUGCUACUUGACUGUACAUUCUUGAUUUCUCUUCAAAGUUGCAGGCUUUAUUGGUGUGUGGUAUAAAUGGGUGUUCAAGAUUUGUGGGUGGUCAUCUUUGUUAUUGGGUUUUGCUUCCAAGCUCAGGUUUUGAGCUCUCAGAACCUGACCUGCAAUCUCAAUGAUUUGAAUGCAUUGGAGGGUUUCAUGGGUGGUCUGCAGAGUGCCCUUGGUAAUUGGGGCAGGAAUUUCUCUGAUGAUUGCUGUAAAUGGGCAGGUAUUACUUGCAACUCUUCCUUCUCUCUUGGAUUGGAUGAUUCUGUUGAUAGUUAUAGAGUGGUUGAGUUGGAUCUUUCGAGUAGGAGACUAUAUGGGAACCUUUCUGAAUCUUUGGGGAAUUUGGAACAACUUAGAGCCCUCAAUCUUUCUCACAAUUUCCUUAAAAAAUCACUUCCUGCUUCACUUUUCCAAUUACCAAACUUAGAGUACUUAGACUUGAGUUCUAAUGACUUUUCUGGCCCCAUUCCAGUCGAUUUCAAUUUACCUUCGAUUCUGUCACUUGACAUCUCUCAAAAUUUCUUGAAUGGUUCUAUUCCACAAAGCAUUUGUGUAAAUUCUACUCGGCUUCGGGUACUGAAGCUGGCUGUGAACUACUUGUCUGGUAGUCUUCCAGAAAGUCUUGGCAAUUGUAGUUCCUUGGAGGACCUUUGUCUCCUCACGAAUAAUCUCUCUGGUGGUGUACCUGAAGGUAUAUAUCAGCUGCAGAAUCUGACCAGAUUGACCAUUGAAGAUAACAAGCUUACCGGGCCGCUGAGCAAAGAAGUUGGUAACCUGAUCAACCUUACUCGGUUGGAUAUAUCAACUAAUUGGUUUUCAGGGACCAUUCCGGAC
rnacentral:lncRNA from 1 species